CACUUGUGUACACAAUUGGCCCCUCAGUUAGUCGAAGAGUUUUCUAGGAAACAAAAUAAUUGUUUGUUAUCUCACUAGUUGCAUGAGAUGGAUCAUGACACAUAACAUCCAUCACAUUAAAAAUAGAUACAUAUGCAAAUUUAGUCACAAGUUCUUACUGUACCUUUUGCAGUCAAUGGAGUGGUCAAUUGAUCUUGUAAUGUAAGGGAGAUUUACACCGCACUUGCUUGGAAGCCCAGCUGCGAGAUCAACGUUAUGACCGUUAGAAAAUCAGCUGUGAGGCCCUGGUGAGCAAUGUCGUUGUCCUGAUGGGUCACCAGAGGUCUGCGCCAGUCGGUACUGCCCCGCCAUUUCCGACUUAGGAAACGCACGGCAUCAGCAAGGAAUUCUUGAAACCGAGCAUUGUCAUCGCCCACCAACGAAAAAAGAAGAAUUUACAAAGAAAUAGCACAAACAUCCGAACAUGGAGAACAAGGAGAAGCAUCUCAAUAUCGAGCAUCUCAAUAUCAAGGAGAAAGAGCUCAAGAUGAAGGCCAACCAUCUCAAGAUCAAGGGCGAAAAUAUGAA